AUUCGAUGGAUUCAAAUGGAAAACCCACAGAUGAUGGUGACAGCCUGAUAAAGGUGAAGGAGGAAACAAAGCUUGUUUUGGAAGCAUUUUUGAAACGAUCUGUCAGUCAAGAUGAGGCAGCACACCUAGGUCAUGUGGGGCGUGUAUACCACGAUCCUAAGAAGUACUUGGUCAGGACAAGUCAAGAGGAAAUAAAAGACGGAGUUACAAAAAAAGGUAAAAAAGUUGAACCCAA